rnacentral:lncRNA from 1 species
UGUACUUUUGUUUUAUACCUUUGAGAGUAGAUGUUGUAUAGGGUGAGGUUUUGGAGAGAUUUGAUGUAUUAUAUUUUGAUGAAAAGAAUACAAGUUGUAUUUAAAGGUUUAAAGCUAAUGAUGUUGGGAAGGAUUUUAUAUGUCCUAGUUUAUGUUUAAAUAGUUAAGUUUCUCUCUUUUGUAUACUUGUAUGAUUUUACUUGUAUCACUUGCUCUAGUUGGUUGUAGUACUGUUGUGCUUUCGU